CCUACGGGAGGCAGCAGUGGGGAAUAUUGCACAAUGGGGGAAACCCUGAUGCAGCAACGCCGCGUGAGUGAAGAAGUAUUUCGGUAUGUAAAGCCCUAUCAGCAGGGAAGCAGAAAGACGGUACCUGACUAAGAAGCCCCGGCUAACUACGUGCCAGCAGCCGAGGUAAUACGGAGGGGGCGAGCGUUAUCCGGAUUUACGGGGUGUAACGGGAGCGUAGACGGCUGUGCAAGUCUGAGGUGAAAGCCCGGGGCUCAACCGCGGAACUGCGGUUGAAACUGGAUGGCUUGAGUAAUGGAGAGGCAUGCGGAAUUCGUGGUGUAGCGGUGAAAUGCGUAGAUAUUAGGAAGAACUCCAGUUGCGAAGGCGGCCUGCUGGCUCGAAACUGACGUUGAGGCUCGAAAGCGUGGGGAGCGAACAGGAUUAGAUACCCCAGUAGUC
rnacentral:rRNA from 1 species